rfam:Schistosoma mansoni strain Puerto Rico chromosome W, complete genome
AUCCAUCUGACGAGUCCCAAAUAUGAUGAGAUGCGCAUCCUGGAU